UGCAGUCGAGCGGUAGCACAGAGAGCUUGCUCUCGGGUGACGAGCGGCGGACGGGUGAGUAAUGUCUGGGAAACUGCCUGAUGGAGGGGGAUAACUACUGGAAACGGUAGCUAAUACCGCAUAAUGUCGCAAGACCAAAGUGGGGGACCUUCGGGCCUCAUGCCAUCAGAUGUGCCCAGAUGGGAUUAGCUAGUAGGUGGGGUAACGGCUCACCUAGGCGACGAUCCCUAGCUGGUCUGAGAGGAUGACCAGCCACACUGGAACUGAGACACGGUCCAGACUCCUACGGGAGGCAGCAGUGGGGAAUAUUGCACAAUGGGCGCAAGCCUGAUGCAGCCAUGCCGCGUGUGUGAAGAAGGCCUUCGGGUUGUAAAGCACUUUCAGCGGGGAGGAAGGCGGUGAGGUUAAUAACCUCAUCGAUUGACGUUACCCGCAGAAGAAGCACCGGCUAACUCCGUGCCAGCAGCCGCGGUAAUACGGAGGGUGCAAGCGUUAAUCGGAAUUACUGGGCGUAAAGCGCACGCAGGCGGUCUGUCAAGUCGGAUGUGAAAUCCCCGGGCUCAACCUGGGAACUGCAUUCGAAACUGGCAGGCUAGAGUCUUGUAGAGGGGGGUAGAAUUCCAGGUGUAGCGGUGAAAUGCGUAGAGAUCUGGAGGAAUACCGGUGGCGAAGGCGGCCCCCUGGACAAAGACUGACGCUCAGGUGCGAAAGCGUGGGGAGCAAACAGGAUUAGAUACCCUGGUAGUCCACGCCGUAAACGAUGUCGAUUUGGAGGUUGUGCCCUUGAGGCGUGGCUUCCGGAGCUAACGCGUUAAAUCGACCGCCUGGGGAGUACGGCCGCAAGGUUAAAACUCAAAUGAAUUGACGGGGGCCCGCACAAGCGGUGGAGCAUGUGGUUUAAUUCGAUGCAACGCGAAGAACCUUACCUGGUCUUGACAUCCACAGAACUUUCCAGAGAUGGAUUGGUGCCUUCGGGAACUGUGAGACAGGUGCUGCAUGGCUGUCGUCAGCUCGUGUUGUGAAAUGUUGGGUUAAGUCCCGCAACGAGCGCAACCCUUAUCCUUUGUUGCCAGCGGUUAGGCCGGGAACUCAAAGGAGACUGCCAGUGAUAAACUGGAGGAAGGUGGGGAUGACGUCAAGUCAUCAUGGCCCUUACGACCAGGGCUACACACGUGCUACAAUGGCAUAUACAAAGAGAAGCGACCUCGCGAGAGCAAGCGGACCUCAUAAAGUAUGUCGUAGUCCGGAUUGGAGUCUGCAACUCGACUCCAUGAAGUCGGAAUCGCUAGUAAUCGUAGAUCAGAAUGCUACGGUGAAUACGUUCCCGGGCCUUGUACACACCGCCCGUCACACCAUGGGAGUGGGUUGCAAAAGAAGUAGGUAGCUUAACCUUCGGGAGGGCGCUUACCACUUUGUGAUUCAUGACUGGGGUGAAGUCGUA
rnacentral:rRNA from 1 species